rnacentral:rRNA from 1 species
UACGGAGGCUGCGAGCGUUAUCCGGAUUUAUUGGGUUUAAAGGGUGCGUAGGCGGGAUGCCAAGUCAGCGGUAAAAAUGCGGUGUUCAACGCCGUCGAGCCGUUGAAACUGGCGUUCUUGAGUGGGCGAGAAGUAUGCGGAAUGCGUGGUGUAGCGGUGAAAUGCAUAGAUAUCACGCAGAACCCCGAUUGCGAAGGCAGCCUUCCGGCGCCCUACUGACGCUGAGGCACGAAAGUGCGGGGAUCGAACAGG